GGCUAGAAAUAAAACAAUUUCAUUCUGAAUGAGAACAAGAUUGCUAAACGUCGCUCUUCAAGCAAUCUAGGAUUCACAUUUCCAUGUUCUGGACUCAGAAUUUAAAUGGGAAAACGAAUACAGAAGACUUUAAGGACCACACUCCCUUCUUCAUAUGUUAAUAAACCAGGGUGCAGGGAAGGCUGGAAAUAACUGGAGACCCAAGAUAAAACAGCAUUUUCCCACAUGAGAAAAUGAACCAAAGAUAAAAGCAAGUAGAUUAAGAGGAAUUUGAACCAACACAACAGCUGAUGAUUAAGAAGCAAGAAUAGCUACAGUUAAAAACUAUAGAUAACACCAACGGGAUGCACUGAUCAGGUUUUCCUUGUAGGAAUAUCUACUAUAUGUCUGUGUGCAGCUGCGAAAUGUUUAGUGGAAGCUGACUUUCAUUGUAAUCCUGAAUUACUGUUCCCAAUAAACUCCAAUAUUGUAUGA